UACGGAGGGGGCUAGCGUUGUUCGGAAUUACUGGGCGUAAAGCGCACGUAGGCGGACCAGCAAGUUGGGGGUGAAAUCCCGGGGCUCAACCCCGGAACUGCCUUCAAAACUGCGGGUCUGGAGGUCGAGAGAGGUGAGUGGAAUUCCGAGUGUAGAGGUGAAAUUCGUAGAUAUUCGGAGGAACACCAGUGGCGAAGGCGGCUCACUGGCUCGAUACUGACGCUGAGGUGCGAAAGCGUGGGGAGCAAACAGG
rnacentral:rRNA from 1 species